rnacentral:lncRNA from 1 species
AGUCGGUAGAACAUGAUGUCAAUCGAAGAGCGUCACGAGGGCAUAGCUGUAGCAUAUGAUGCCCAGCUCAGUUUGCCACGGCUCGCACCAUCCCCUAAUGAGCCUGGUGUAGCCGGCUGGUAUCUUGAUACAGAGACGCUGUCCCAAGUGCUCGUGUCUCCAACGCUCUAGAAUGAGGUUCUUCGAUGGACCUCACCCUCAUCUCACUAUCGAUGAAAACUUGCCUGAAAUAAUAAUAAAUAAAUUAUUAGUAUGAUAGCUAUCUAAAUAAAAAAAUCAAAUUUUAUUAUAUAAAAAUAUAAUAAUACCACUCAGAUCCAUCUCACUCAGACCCGUCUCACUGGGACUUGCCAGUGCAAAACCCUCUGACAAUGGAGCCGAUGCGGUAAUGGAGAUCGAUGAAGGUG